rnacentral:piRNA from 7 species
UCUGAAUGUCAAAGUGAAGAAAUUC